CCCUUAGAUGUUCUGGGCCGCACGCGCGCUACACUGAUGCAUUCAACGAGUUUCUUCCUGGUCCGAGAGGAAUGGGUAACCUUUUGAAAGUGCAUCGUGAUAGGGAUAGACUAUUGCAAUUAUUGGUCUUCAACGAGGAAUUCCUAGUAGACGUAGUUCAUCAGACUGCAUCGAUUACGUCCCUGCCCUUUGUACACACCGCCCGUCGCUCCUACCGAUUGAAUGCUCAGGUGAGCCAUUCGGACCUUCAUCAUGCCGGUUUCCGGUUUUGAUGAGGGAAAGUCUUGCGAACCUUAUCAUUUAGAGGAAGGAGACGUCGUAACA
rnacentral:rRNA from 1 species